AUCUAAAUAGUUUAUUAAAACAUUGAUUUGUGGAAUCAAAGAUAUAAUUUUUAUUUUAGAUA
rnacentral:tRNA from 1 species